CGGCGGACGGGUGAGUAACACGUGGAUAACCUACCUAUAAGACUGGGAUAACUUCGGGAAACCGGAGCUAAUACCGGAUAAUAUUUUGAACCGCAUGGUUCAAAAGUGAAAGACGGUCUUGCUGUCACUUAUAGAUGGAUCCGCGCUGCAUUAGCUAGUUGGUAAGGUAACGGCUUACCAAGGCAACGAUGCAUAGCCGACCUGAGAGGGUGAUCGGCCACACUGGAACUGAGACACGGUCCAGACUCCUACGGGAGGCAGCU
rnacentral:rRNA from 1 species